rnacentral:rRNA from 1 species
GAUGAACGCUGGCGGCGUGCCUAAUACAUGCAAGUCGAGCGAACGGACGAGAAGCUUGCUUCUCUGAUGUUAGCGGCGGACGGGUGAGUAACACGUGGAUAACCUACCUAUAAGACUGGGAUAACUUCGGGAAACCGGAGCUAAUACCGGACAAUAUUCUGAACCGCAGGGUUCAAAAGUGAAAGACGGCCUUGCUGUCACUAAUAGAUGGAUCCGCGCUGCAUUAGCUAGUUGGUAAGGUAACGGCUUACCAAGGCAACGAUGCAUAGCCGACCUGAGAGGGUGAUCGGCCACACUGGAACUGAGACACGGUCCAUGCUCCUACGGGAGGCAGCAGUAGGGAAUCUUCCGCAAUGGGCGAAAGCCUGACGGAGCAGCGCCGCGUGAGUGAUGAAGGUCUUCGGAUCGUAAAACUCUGUUAUUAGGGAAGAACAUAUGUGUAAGUAACUGUGCACAUCUUGACGGUACCUAAUCAGAAAGCCACGGCUAACUACGUG